AGAACAGAGAAGAAGAAGAAGAAGAAGAAACACACCAUGGUCACCACACAAGUGGAGUCUGAGAAACAGUGGCUCAUUUCACUGUGAACGACAUUAUAUUUAUCAUGGCUGCAUCAGGGAGCGGAUGAACGCUGCUACUGCUGCUGAUGAUGAUGAACCUGCUCCUGUCUGGAAGGGCUGUUUCUUGGUAGACAGCGCCACCCGCUGACCACGCCAGGUCAUAGGAGACAUGACAAAAUCUUCACAGAGAAUGUGAAAUUGUGGUGAUUGUACUUUAAAUGUACAUGCCUCUUUUGUACAACCACAUAGUUGUUUUUUUCCUGAAAUAUCCUGUAGCACAAAACACACCGACAUGCCCCAACGUUUUAUUUACUGUACUGUAUGUACUUUCAAUCCAAACAAAGUCAAUAAACUCUCCAAAUAGCAGCAGUGGUUCGCAAAUUGGGGCCCUUAUGGGUCCUUGGCACAAUGCCAGGGGGUCCACGCAACAUUUCCAGAUGUAUCUACUAAAACGAUCAUCAUACUGAAUAUAUAGGCCUACAUUUUCACUUUUUUUAAACAAAAGGCAUCAGAAAAACAUUCAUUUUCAUUAUGUAAACUGAAAUCAUUCACAGCUUACCUUCUUGUUACACAGUUUAUAGUCAAAUUAUUCCAAUAAAAAUGUGUAAUUUC